rnacentral:rRNA from 1 species
UUUUGAUUAUUUUAGCGGCGGACGGGUGAGUAACGUGUGGGUAACCUGCCUUUUACUGGGGAAUAAUCGUUGGAAACGACGACUAAUACCGCAUACGGUUCUUGGAAGGCAUCUUCUAAGAAAGAAAGGAUUUAUUCGGUAAAAGAUGGGCCCGCAUCUGAUUAGCUAGUUGGUGAGAUAAUAGCCCACCAAGGCAACGAUCAGUAGCCGACCUGAGAGGGUGACCGGCCACAUUGGGACUGAGACACGGCCCAAACUCCUACGGAAGGCAGCAG